AUGGCUCCGCAUUACCAGGCCACCACCCUGAUUGCCUCCCCGUCCUAUCCAGAUGCCAUCACCUGGUCAAGUGACAACUUGGUGGCCGUUGCCUCUGGCCACAUCGUCACUAUCCUGGUACGAGCAAUUUCAGCACCCUAUUCAGCACUUGUGCUUCGCCCUAGGGACCCUUUUCCCAUUGGAGUGGUUAGCAGGGAAGAUCUCUUUGAACCAAUUUUCUACUAGUGGUCCUUAGCACGUGAUACUGAACCAUGUGCACGGUCAAUUUCCUGGUCUCAACAAGGAUUUGCUCCUAAUUCUGGGUAAUUUCUGGCUGUCUGUACUGUUGAUGGUCACGUGAAUCUUUACCGCCCGCCAGUUUCUGAAUUUUGUGAUGACUGGGUUAAGGUUGCGGAUAUAUCUCAAUUGUUGUUUAACUAUUACCAAAAUAUUAACUUCGGAGAGGAUGAUGGUCCAGAUUCAUUUCCUCAGGAAAAGGCAAAUAUUGAGCACGCUCCUCAGGACAGGUUAAAUAACAAGCACACACUAGACACAGGAUACGCCGGUGAAUUACAGGAACCUCUUUCUCGCAGGGGUCCUGGACGGAGAAAAAGGAAGCCAGUAAGGUGA
rnacentral:rRNA from 1 species